CAUGCUAGUUUCAUAAUUAGGGUGGAGCAUGCAAGCAACUAUAAAGGUUGCCCCAGUCUGAGACUCUCACUGCUGGAUACAUCUGAAAGCUCCGGACUCUGAGUGAGUUAUUCUUCAAGACAAUAUCUGAGAAAACAUGGAACAUCUACUCAACGAAAACCUUCUGAAGUAUUUUACCCAGUAUGCUUUACAGGAGGGCAGCACCAGUGCACUGUCCAUUGAUGGGCUGAAGAAUCUCCUUCAGAAUCAGUUUGCACAGUACCUGAAGGAUCAAUUCUCACUUGAUAACAUAAUUAAAUCGUUGGACAAAAAUAAGGAUGGAUCUGUCAGCUUUCAUGAGUUUAUGAUGAUUGUAAAAAGGAUAACUAGCACAGGACAGUGAGGCAUCUGCAAGAACGAGUAUCACUGCUUUGAAGAAGAGCCUGGCAUUUGUUUACAUUGUGUGUACAUCUAAACCCACAGAUUUGUUAUUAUUUUGAAGCAUAUGGAAUAAAGAUUUAACAGAUAACACA